ACCUACAGCUCAACUUUUCAUCACUCCAGCAGUGACAAUUCAAGCCUGUAAUAGGCUCCCAGCACCACAUAUUGAAUAGGGUGUCCCUUCCUUAGUGUGUAUUUUCAUUGACUUUGUCAGAGAUCAAUUGGUUGCAGCCCAUUCCUGAGCGUCCUGCAGUUACUGACAUCCUCAGUUGGGGUGAAGAUCAGCACUGUGACGAGGCUCCGGAUUGAAAUAUGGUUAUUAUCAGGGGUAGAACAUUGGACUGCAAACCAACAGAUAUGAUUAUUAGUGUAUUCUCAUUAUUUUUCCAGGUGUCAAAACUGACUACAUUUUGUUAAAUGUACAAACUGCAUUCGUGAAAACUGACUGCAUUUGUGGAAUGAAAAUAAGCAGAUAAAAUUGCUUUGGAAUAAAACAUAAGUUUGUGCAGUGAAAUGGGCCCUAAGAUAUGAAGAAAUUGACAUUGAUUAAAAGGACCAGAGCCUCGGCAGAAGAAUAGACAUACAGAUUAAUUAAAUAGAAUUGACAAUCUGGAAAUAAACCCUUACAUUUACAGUCAACUGAUUUUUAACAAGUGUGUGAAGACAAUUCAAUCUAGAAAGAAUAGUGUUUUUUUAAAAAUGGUGUUGGGACAAUUGGAUAUCUACAUGUAAAAGAAUAAAAUUGGAUCCCUACCUUAAGCCACAUACAAAACUUAACUAAAAAUUGAUCCAAGAUCUAAAUGAGUCAAAGACGAACUCAACGAAUCAAAGCUAAUCUAUAAACUCUUAGAAGUAGAAGAAAACACAGGCAUCUGCAUGACUUGAAAUUUAGAAAUGGUUUAUUAGAUAUGAUGCCAAAAACAAAAGCAACAAAAGAUAGAAAUAAUGUGGACUUCAAAGACAUUUAAAACUUUGCGCUUCAAAGCAUA